UGCUCUAAUUGUUGCAAAAUAUUGCAAUUGGAUCUAGUGUAAAUCCAUGGAUCUUGGUUGAUAGGAUACCCAGCCAAAUAACUUCUCGUAUUCCUUCUGAAAGUGCUUUUGCUUUGGGAUCCAUAGACAAGAUGGCCACUAUUUGCUGCUUCAUUGAUGACCAUGAUAUAGGACCUCCUGCCAAUUUGAAAAUCCAACUUGUUACAGAUUUUCUAUCUAGUCGACAAUUUCUCCAAUCCAAAUUAGUGUAAUCUACAACUGUCGGACUUGUGUGUUUUUCAUAGAAUAUGUCGAAGUCAAGAGCUCCUUUGAUAUAUCUAAGGACAUGGUUAGCCGCUUUUAGAUGCAGAGUUUUGGGAUUGUAUAUAAAUCGGCUUAGUACCCCAAUCAUAAACAAAAGUUUGAAUUUAGUAUUUACUAAGUAUAUUAGUAUCCCGAUCAGUCGCUAAAAUUGCUUCGGAUCGACUCCCGGGGAGUCGUCUUCUGUUCCCAAUUUUAAUCCCUCUGCCAUGAGCAUUGAAGCAAGUUUGCAAUCCAUCAUAUCAAAUUCAUAGAGGAUCUGUAGUAAAUAUGCUUUUUGUGUCAAG
rnacentral:lncRNA from 1 species